rnacentral:misc_RNA from 1 species
UGCGAAUGGGUUCAACCUAAAAGGAAAUUAACUCCAAAAGAGAGCAAACAAAUGAGACUUCUGUGUGUGAGGGCUGAAAAAUUCAGUAUGAACAGGAAAAAUAAAUCCAAGGCAACAAAAAUUAUUCUGUGUGUAUUUUGUGUUGCUUUGUCCAUCUAUUGAUUAGGAUAGGAAGACAUCUUAUCCUCCAUGUUAUAAUCUCUUUUCUUUCAUUCCUUCUUAAGAAAGCUUUUAAAAGAAAUUAAAAGAGAAGGUUACAAUUACUGUGCAACAUCUGAAACCAAAUAAAUAGAAGACUUACUUGUUCAAGUGUAUGCUGAGCAAGAUCAGUUGUUGAUAUCAUAACUCCAGCAGCAAAAGAUCCCAGUUCAAGGCUCAGACCC